rnacentral:rRNA from 1 species
UACGUAGGGACCAAGCGUUGUUCGGAUUUACUGGGCGUAAAGGGCGCGUAGGCGGCGUGUUAAGUCAGCUGUGAAAUCUCCAAGCUUAACUUGGAACGGUCAGCUGAUACUGAUGUGCUAGAGUGCAGAAAGGGCAAUCGGAAUUCUUGGUGUAGUGGUGAAAUGCGUAGAUAUCGGGAGGAACACCAGUGGCGAAGGCGACUUCCUGGCCUGUUCUUGACGCUGAGGCGCGAAAGCUAGGGGAGCAAACGGG